rnacentral:rRNA from 1 species
GACGAACGCUGGCGGCGUGCUUAACACAUGCAAGUCGAACGAUGAACCCGGAGCUUGCUCUGGUGAAUUAGUGGCGAACGGGUGAGUGACACGUGAGUAACCUGCCCCGAACUCUGGGAUAACUGCUGGAAACGGUAGCUAAUACCGGAUAUGACCAAUGAAGGCAUCUUCUGUUGGUGGAAAGAAUUUCGGUUCGGGAUGGACUCGCGGCCUAUCAGCUUGUUGGUGAGGUAACGGCUCACCAAGGCGGCGACGGGUAGCCGGCCGGAGAGGGUGAUCGGCCACACUGGGACUGAGACACGGCCCAGACUCCUACGGGAGGCAGCAGUGGGGAAUAUUGCACAAUGGGCGAAAGCCUGAUGCAGCAACGCCGCGUGAGGGACGACGGCCUUCGGGUUGUAAACCUCUUUUAGUAGGGAAGAAGCGAAAGUGACGGUACCUGCAGAAAAAGCACCGGCUAACUACGUGCCAGCAGCCGCCGCAG